rnacentral:lncRNA from 1 species
UGUUACCCUUAAUGGCAGAUACGUGACAAACGGCACCAUGGGAGCCAUUCAGGCAGAGCGUCGCAGCGACCGCUCGCUAAGGAGGGAACACGGAGGGUCGCGUGCACGACAAGCGGAGAGGGGACGCGUGAUGAGUGGCAGGAUGAGAUGGAUGCUGUUCCGCCUCCAAAUUACUGAGUGCGGCGUGUAAACAGGAUGCCACGCAGAGACGAGGCGGCGGCCGCUGCCUCAUCAGCAGCAGCAGCAGGAGGCGUGGCCGAGGGAAUUAUCAAGUUCAAUCACCAGCCAUUCGCUGCAAUUACAGAUGAACAUGGCCUCCGUGUGCCCCGUGUGGCAUCUGUUGCUGACAACGGCGAGAGAAACUCGCCUCCUACUGCUGCACAGAUUAGGUGUAGUCGCCAGCUGGACCACAUCAGUAGCGCCCGGCUGAGCUGCUCGGGGGGAAACGACUAAGAAGGAGGACUGGUGGAGGUGGCAACGUGAGCAGGUAGACGGGAUUAAAAAGACGGGGUUGAGAAGGUGGAUGAGCCCUUCAAAGCUGCUGAAGCAGACUCUGCUCUCCGUCCGUCAGGCAGCCGUCCUCCCCUCUGUGAUCUACCUCCUCCUGACCUCACCUGCUUCACACCAUCACUCUGUAACGGGCGACUCAACCUCUGCCCGGAGGCUGGUCUCCCUCCUUGGAUCCUCACCUUCCCGUAAGGCUGGGCUUUCAGGUCUGUUGUUUAGGAGGAACAGGAUCUCUCUGCUGGAUGCUCUAUGAAAACCAUGUGUGCCUAAAGAGCUCACGUCUGCUCUCACGUGGAGUUCCUGAACUCAUCCCUGUGUUUCCUGCAGAGACUGGUCCAGAGUGAUCUAUGCAGCUCCCGUGUCAAUACAAACAUACAGCACAAUGCAAUGUACGGGUGCUUGUCUUAGUGAUUUAAAAACAG